CUGAAACCAGCAUAGAAACCAGCCUGUCAAACCAUUAUAUUUACGGUCUGUUGAUUAUAGCAUCGGUUAAUUCAUUCUGCUCUUGAACGAUUCUGUUCAGUCACGUACUCCAUUUUUGAUAAAUUUCUCUUCUAAGUAAACACUGAAACCAGCAUAGUUUUUUAUUUUAAACAUAAAAAUAUACAGAGAGAGAUUUAACUUUUAAUCUACGGUUUAUUGAACACACAGUACGGUCUGUUAUUGAAUAUAUCCUGUAAAAUUUAUUAUAGACUUCUGCUUGCUACUCAAUCAUUCUUUUUGUUUAAAAUAUGGGUAACUAUUCUAUUCAAACACUUGGUUUGGUCUGCGGCGCAUUGCUUUGGAAACUAGCUUUGGGAACCGGUGAAUUCUGUUUGGAAGACAGUGACUGUAUAUUUUGCUGCUCGAGGAACCAAUGUCAAGAUGGCUGCGGGCGGUUCAGCAGUUGGUGGUAUUUCAUCGGAUUUCCUGCAAGCAUCUGUAUUGGUGUUGCCGUCAGAUUCUUCAUACGCUAUCUUCUCAAUAGCGCAGCUUCUGGAAACCAAGCAGGGGUGAUCCAUGCAACACCGUACCAGGUGCUUACAAAUGAGCCCCUCGGAUAUAUUAACAAACCGGUGGUACAACAAGGUGAUUCAAUGCCCCAGUCUGGGGUGAUCGCGGACACCCAUGCAGCGCCCAACCAGGUUCCAAUGAAUCAGCCCCCUCGAUAUUAUAAUCAGCCAGUCGUACAGCCACUACAACCAGGAGCAAAAAUGCCCCCAAUUACUGCGACACCGACCGAGAUCAACAUCGAACAGAAUUCUAUAUAAGGACAAAAAAUGAAUAGGCGAGCUACGAACUGAAUUAACAAACAAGUUAUGCGUUAAAGAAUUUGAUUCGGUAAUUCCAAAAUAUAUAUAUAUACUUUAACUGGUGUAUUUGACUUCUAAUUUUUUGU